GCCGCGUUGGCGUAGUGGUAGCGCGUCUCACUUGUACCCCUCCCGUAUACGGUUCUGUGAUGUACAUGAGAAGGUCACUCGUUCAAUCCGGGUACGUGGCA